rnacentral:rRNA from 1 species
AGAACGCUAGCGGCAGGCUUAACACAUGCAAGUCGAGGGGCAGCACGGGUAGCAAUAUCUGGUGGCGACCGGCGCAAGGGUGCGUAACGCGUGAGCAACAUGCCCGUAUCAGGGGGAUAAGCCAGGGAAACUUGGUCUAAUACCCCAUAAUAAGUUUGGGAGGCAUCUUCUGAAUUUUAAAGCUUUGGUGGAUACGGAUUGGCUCGCGUGACAUUAGCUGGAUGGUAGGGUAACGGCCUACCAUGGCUACGAUGUCUAGGGGUUCUGAGAGGAAGAUCCCCCACACUGGAACUGAGACACGGUCCAGACUCCUACGGGAGGCAGCAGUGAGGAAUAUUGGACAAUGGAUGGAAAUCUGAUCCAGCCAUGCCGCGUGCAGGAAGACGGCCCUAUGGGUUGUAAACUGCUUUUAUACGGGAGCAAUAAGGUCUACGUGUAGGCCGAUGAGAGUACCGUACGAAUAAGCACCGGCUAACUCCGUGCCAGCAGCCGCGGUAAUUCAAGGGCGAAUUCCACAGUG